GUGUGUGUGUGCAGUGAGCAGUUCACAGUGUGUGGAUAUUACAGCGACAGGAACAGAGGGAGAACAAGUGCUCAUUACGUGUCCUUAUGCUAAAGGAUAUGAAAAAGCUUACAAAGGCUUUUACAAAGGAAAUUACAAAGAUUAUGAUGUUAUACUAAAAUCUAAUGGAGGAGAGACCUCGGUCAGUGGCAGAAUCUCUCUGCGGGACGAUGGCAAGAUGAGAUCAUUGACAGUGACCAUCAGAAACCUGAAGAUGGAAGAUGCUGGACCGUACAUCUGUCGAGCUGGAUAUGGAUACCUUAAACAAAUCCAUCUAAAUGUGAUCAGAGGUGUGAUGUACAUUAGUAAACAAACAAUAUUUUUAAUUCACUGUGCUUUAUGCUGGGAUCAAUGGUCAUUUUAUUCAUGUAUUUGUUUAGUUUGAAUGGUGUAAUGAUUCUCCUUGUUUUCAGCUCCACAGAGACCAAUACCUGUCCAGAUCUUUACCUCCACCAUUCAUCCAGGUAAUAUAUAUCCAUUACAACAUAUGAAUUACUGUGUCAGUAUAACAGCACAAUCUAUAUUUCCCUUCAGAUCAAACGAUCAGCUCACUUUCAAACACGCCGCCCCAUUUGAGCACAUCAGACUUGAACCCACAAUCCAGCACCAUCAGGAUCACAGAUCAUCACAUCUCCUCACCAGCUCAGAUCAGCUGCUGCCCUUCCUCUCUCAGUUUAUUUGUCAUCAUCAUCAUCACUGCAGGAGGUCUGGUUUUGCUCCUGAUUUUUGCUGCAUCGCUUGUUGUUUCCAUAUGGAAGAAAAAGACUUAUGGUGAUAAUAAAUAAAUAAAGUCUACAUUUCUGAUGUGUCA
ensembl:lncRNA